UAAAAUCAUUGGCAAAACCGUCGAAAGACGGCGUCGCAAUGUUAAAGGGCCUGUACCGUUUGGAUGGCAGCCAGUUGCGGAA
rnacentral:ncRNA from 1 species